UUUUUUUAUUUUUAUUUUUUUUUGUCUGUUUUUCCUCUAAUUCUUUUUUUGUCCUUAAAAAGAGGUUUUUUGCUAAUAAGAAUUGUAAUUAUUUUAGUAUACUUGAAAAUGGUAUUCUUGCAAAUACAAAAUGACUAUCAACUGUAAAAAAAAAUAAAAGUCCAAAUUUAAAAAAACUCAUGAAGUUAUCUAAAUUUUUACUUUCUUAAUUGUUGAAAAUACGUUACACAAUGGUGCACCAGGACAUAAUUACAUUUUCUACCCUGUUUUAAGACUCCAAACAUCACACAUAUGCUGCAAAUUAAGAUUAGAUUUUUAUAUAUGAUGUUUCUGAGCGUUUCAUUUGAAAUUAUUUAAAAGCAAUUUUUAAACACAGACUUACUGUCCAUAGAAAAUCAUUUCUUGAUAGUAUGAAGGCUGGUACAAUCCAAAAUAUUUUAAAAUCAAAUGAAUACUUCCAAACAUACAUAUAUGCAUGUGUGUUUGUACAUGAAUACACUAACAAAAUAUAUGUGGUUUAAUAAGAAAAUUUCUUUUGGACUUUACAAACAUUCAUGUAUAUAACAACUUUCAUGUUUUCUGUGUCUUGAGCUUUUAUGAUACAUUUAAAUCAUAUUUUCGUGGCUUUCCACAUACAUAAGUAGAAAUGUUCUAUCCUUUAUCAAUUAAAGAGCUUUCAGAUUCAGUAAUCUCAGACACAUGAAAAGCUUUAAUACUGCCAAAACUUUUCCAGAAUCUCAGGAAUUAUAAUAUUUGCACAAAGACUGAGCAAAUUUGUAUAGGGGAAGAAGAUAAAUCUUAUAAAAGCCUUCAGGAGUUCUGCAUGUUACAGAACUUAGGGACUGGGUGUAGGUAAUGACGUAGCACAUGCAGAUGUUCCACGACUAAAGUUUUCUGACCGUUUCUAAUGUCCACUUCAUUCUGACCCCCAACAACACCCUACACUUUCUCUCUUUGGCUGUCUUUGAUGUAAUAGAAUGAUAUGAUGUAGGCUAAUAUUAGAUUUGAAUUGAAAUAGUAUAGCAUUGAUCAGUUCUUAAAGAUAGCCUUUUCCUCUGCCUAUUGGUGUUAUGAUGUUUAGCAUGAUCAGCACAUACGGGUGCACCUGAUAGUUCUAAAUUUAUACUUCAUUUACUAAAUCCCUUUUGUUACUAUACAAUAAACAGUACGUUGUUCAACUGGAUAUGCCUUAUUUGCUAGCAGAAUUUAAAGCCUCUGAAUUGUUUUUCCUACUAGCACAUCACUAAAGCUAUGGGGUUUUGUUUUGUUUUUUAAUAAGAGCCAUGUGAGAGGGAUGAAGAAAAAAAAAGAGAAUGUUAAUAAAUCAAAGGGUGGCCUGAGUUGGAAGGGACCUCACCGAAUAUCUAGUACCAACAUUCAUGACAUGGGCAGGGUUACCACCCACUAGAUAAAAUUUCUGAAACUUUAAGAUGAACUCAGAAGAGCAGAGGUAAAAGGCCACACCAAAGAGAGAACAAUUGAAAGCUAACUAUGCAGGCAAAAUAACAUUGCUGAAGUUUUGCAGUCUUUCAGUCUUUUGUAGUGAAGACAUCAACAGUAACCAGUAAAGUACUGGUACUCGAGGUUCAAGAAGAGCUGUAAUUUACCUCAAUCAUCUGUGAUUCUCCUUCCUCACUUUUCAGCAAGUGUGUCCAAAAGAACACGACAGGAAUUCACCCUUCCGCAUCCACUUCAUUAAAACUCCCACUACAAUCUCAAGUCCAAAUAGAACUUUCUCCUCUCCCUUUCCUAGAUUUAAAGACAGAAAUAUGUGAAGUAUUAACAAAUUUCACUAAACACACACUCAUAUAUGCAUAUUUCAUAUAAGAAUCAAGUCCAAAAUAUUCAAUGCUAGGAGACAAUUAAAGCUUUAAUUAGGAAUACAACAGGAAAGAAAUAUGGGAGUCACACAUUACCAAUGUUUUCAAAGCUCAAAGUUACAUUUUUCAGGGAGGUCUUUGUUCUACAUUAGGAAAAAAAAGAUCUAUGUUGAAACGUUCCUCUCACAGUAGGAGCUUUUUUAUCAAUUUACUUAAGAAAUUAUGCUAAAAAAAUACACAAAGACAAGUUUUUCUUACUUUUCCACUUGUCUGAAAACCAGAACUAGACAGAAUUAGAUAAAAAUGAAAGGAAACUUUCACCUGAGAAAAUCACUGCCUUCCAUUAAGGAUUUCAUCAAUGCACAUUUUAGCAGAUUAAAAAAAAAUUCUGUUAGCCAGGGGGACAAAGAGACUACAUACUAAUUAUUCCUUUUGAUCUUCACUUGCAGGAAGACAUCUGACAACUGUCAGAGAUAAAGCUUACAAUUAGGCAGCUUUUUUAAAUAAUUAAGUACAGGAACUGAAGCUUUCCCUAGACUUGCCUUCUUUCUUCUACCUCGGGCUGUACUAUUGCCUAGCCAGCUGAGAAGUCACAUCCAGCCACUUUCCCCCGUUGUCAACAAAUGGCAAAUAAAAGUCAGUAAAUGAAGCUCUAGUCCACCCAAAUCACUAAGGUGACUAAGUUACCGCCAUGCUAUGUAGUUAUCUAGUAGAAAUUAAUAAUCAGUGACUUUUCUAAUGAUGCACUAAAGGAAAGUUACUUGAUUUAUUUUUUUUUUCAGAAAUAUUCAUUAUCUAGCUAUUCAGUCAUUAAAGUCUCUCCUGAAGAUAUUUACAACUAAAACAUAAAAAAAUAAAACCAUCAUGAGCAAAAGAUGAAACAGAAAAAGCAAAGAUGAAAAUGCCCAAGGACUGUGAUGACCCUGAGAAAGUGUUUUAUUGCUCAGUGAACCUCAGUACUCAGAAGCAUAGUUCUGCCUGCAUUUGUUCUGUUUUGCAUAUUCUACAAUUAAUAUAACAUUUAGCAUUUAUCUUGGUGAUAGAAAAAAAAUUAAUAAGCACUAGAAGUUAAGUAAUACCAAUUUCAGGAGCUGUCUUAAUGGGAAAAAAAAAAAAAAAA
ensembl:lncRNA